UUGGAAGGUUGAAGAAAUUUGAUAAAUGGCUUUCCAUGGAAGUUUGUGGUUUUUUGAGGUUUUCUUAUUGCCAAUAAUAAAGGGAUAAAGAUGAUGGUAUGGGGUCUUUGCAACUUGACCUAUAUCUUAUGAUUGUGGUUUGUAAGGAUUGGAGUUUAUAGGUGAGGUGACAUUAAAGAAGAGAUUCAUAUUGUGUUGGCCUAUGAGGGUGACUGUAUC
rnacentral:lncRNA from 1 species